rnacentral:rRNA from 1 species
UGACACAAGUUACUUGGAUAACUGUGGUAAUUCUAGAGCUAAUACAUGCGCUAAAGCUCUGACCUAGCGGAAAGAGUGCAUUUAUUAGAGCAAAACCAAGCGGCUUUGGUCGUGUUUUGCUGACUCAGAAUAACUUAGCUGAUCGCACGGUCUAUGAACCGGCGACGUGUCAUACGAGUAUCUGCCUUAUCAAUUGUCGAUGGUAGUGUAUUGGACUACCAUGGUGUUGACGGGUAACGGAGAAUUAGGGUUCGACUCCGGAGAAGGGGCCUGAGAAAUGGCCACUACGUCUAAGGAUGGCAGCAGGCGCGCAAAUUACCCACUCUCGGAAAGAGGAGGUAGUGACGAGAAAUAACGAGACCGUUCUCUUAAUGAGGCCGGUUAUCGGAAUGGGUACAAUUUAAACCCUUUAACGAGUAUCUAUGAGAGGGCAAGUCUGGUGCCAGCAGCCGCGGUAAUUCCAGCUCUCAAAAUGCAUAGAACCAUUGCUGCGGUUAAAAAGCUCGUAGUUGAAUUUAUGCCAGAGACUUGGUCCGCUCAUUGAGUGUGUACUAGGUUCUUUGGCUUUUCGUCGGUUUUCUUGUUGUUUGCCUUUAUUGGCAGCUGCAAGUGGCUGACAAUUUUACUUUGAACAAAUCAAAGUGCUCAAAACAGGCGUUUUGCUUGUAUGUUUUUGCAUGGAAUAAUAGAAUAAGACUUCGGUCUAGUUUUAUUGGUUUUAUAGAUCGUUGUAAUGAUUAAAAGAGACAAACGGGGGCAUUCGUAUUGUUGCGUGAGAGGUGAAAUUCUUGGACCGCAGCAAGACGUCCUACAGCGAAAGCAUUUGCCAAGCUUGUCUUCAUUAAUCAAGAACGAAAGUCAGAGGAUCGAA